rnacentral:rRNA from 1 species
GCGUAAAGCGCACGCAGGCGGUCUGUCAAGUCGGAUGUGAAAUCCCCGGGCUCAACCUGGGAACUGCAUUCGAAACUGGCAGGCUAGAGUCUUGUAGAGGGGGGUAGAAUUCCAGGUGUAGCGGUGAAAUGCGUAGAGAUCUGGAGGAAUACCGGUGGCGAAGGCGGCCCCCUGGACAAAGACUGACGCUCAGGUGCGAAAGCGUGGGGAGCAAACAGGAUUAGAUACCCUGGUAGUCCACGCCGUAAACGAUGUCGACUUGGAGGUUGUGCCCUUGAGGCGUGGCUUCCGGAGCUAACGCGUUAAGUCGACCGCCUGGGGAGUACGGCCGCAAGGUUAAAACUCAAAUGAAUUGACGGGGGCCCGCACAAGCGGUGGAGCAUGUGGUUUAAUUCGAUGCAACGCGAAGAACCUUACCUACUCUUGACAUCCAGAGAACUUAGCAGAGAUGCUUUGGUGCCUUCGGGAACUCUGAGACAGGUGCUGCAUGGCUGUCGUCAGCUCGUGUUGUGAAAUGUUGGGUUAAGUCCCGCAACGAGCGCAACCCUUAUCCUUUGUUGCCAGCGGUCCGGCCGGGAACUCAAAGGAGACUGCCAGUGAUAAACUGGAGGAAGGUGGGGAUGA